UUGCCCUGACUCAUGCUCAUGAUACAUUGGCCGCUCCGGGCUGCCUCUGGUGUGCUAUCUGCUGCUCUGCUUCAUCAGUUGUUUCCUGUGCAUCCACCGAAGCUCCCAGAUUUCUCUCACGGAAUAGUCAAAGGGCCUCUGUCAGCAAAAUUGUUUGGGUUGAGGUGCACAUGAGAAAGAGUCCAACGGUUUGCUUGCCCGAGCCCUCUGAGGCCGCCCUGGCUGCUCGAAUGUAUUCCUGACGUUUCCCGGGAGGCCGAUGAUUUGCACAACGCGUCCUUCCCCUGGUCCCAAAGCCAAGCAUUGACAUAUUCCAGCCAUCGUUUCACGUUGCCUUCCUCCACGAAGCUUGCUUUGUGCGCUGAACUCGAAGAAUCGCUGAGUGCCCUCAGAUAAACUUCCGCUGCUCAUCUCUCUCAGUUUAGGAUGUGUGCUGUGGAACGGAAGUGUUUUGCUAAUGCUUAGCAUGGCACAAAAGCUGUUUCUGCAUUUUGCCAUCAUACAUUCCUCCGGUCCUUAGCUCAGCAUCUCUGUGCUGUUGGGAGAGGUGCCACCCCAUACGCAGAUGGAGCGGGAACGGAGGAAGAUUUCUCUGGGGCUCAAAACUUGUGCGGCCAUAUGCUGUUCUCUCUCCUUCCGGAUUAUGUCAAGCACACUGGCCCCUGGCUGGCACAGAGAGACAAAGAUGGAGAGGUUUUAAUCAGUUGAAGUCUCAAUUUAUAGCCAAUUCAAUAACUUCUUUAAGUAAAAAAAAAAAAAAAAAA